CAUCCCUCCCCCUCUCACUCAAAAUCUAUCUCCCUGUCUUUCUCUUUAUACAUCGGCAGGAUGACAACCCCACCGCCGGCUCCGCUACACCACCACGCCGAGCCACCGCCGCAACUCGCCACCACGACCAUCACUGGCGACUAUCCAACCUAAUCAAACAGCAAUCCCUCUUUCUUCUGAUAUAUAUAUCUGUGUCUAAAUCCAUAUGUCUUCAUCUUGGUUGUGUGGGCUGCUAUGUGUUUCUAGGCCAUGACAAUGAUGAUGGUGUCCGUCGCAGUGGUGUAUCCUGUGUAAAGAAUUAGAGCUCGACAAGACAAAGAAGGAUUAUGAGGAAAAAAAUGAUCGGAAUCACCUGCUGAAAUCCUUCAAUGUCAGUUAUGACUAAUGUCAUGGUUAAUAUGCUCCAACCUAUCCAAAGAUUUUGAUAUGCCCAUUUGGCUGACAUUGGUUUCCCUUUUCUAUGAUGGGAAAAAUGUGUGUUCGUUGUUGGCCUAUACCCUUCACACAAGCUAUUUAUUUGUUUGCAAAUGUCGGUAUUUUCUUUUCGUUUGAUUCUCUCAAAACUAAAUUUGGCUAUUUCUGGCAGAAGUUUGAUAAUGGUGGAGUUUUAUGACAUUUGAUCUGUGUAUUGCAUAGUGAGGGGAAAAAUUCUAGGAUGGUGUAACCAAGCUUAAUCAUGUCCUCAUAUCUACCUACUAUUGUUAUUCUGCUACUGUUGCUGCUACUUUCUCUCUUAUUCAUAGAAAAAACAAAUAUCUAGCUCCUUUCUCAAAAACCUAAAUUGAUAUAUAUGGAAUCAAGAUUAAGAUUUA